AUACAUGCAAGUCGAACGAUAGAUAGCAGCUUGCUGUUAUCAAAAGUGGCGCACGGGUGCGUAACGCGUAUGCAACCUACCUCAAUCAGGGGGAUAGCCCGAAGAAAUUCGGAUUAACACCGCAUAACAACACAGUACAGCAUUGUACAAUGUUCAAAUAUUUAUAGGAUUGAGAUGGGCAUGCGUGUCAUUAGCUAGUUGGCGGGGUAACGGCCCACCAAGGCGACGAUGACUAGGGGAUCUGAGAGGAUGACCCCCCACACUGGUACUGAGACACGGACCAGACUCCUACGGGAGGCAGCAGUAAGGAAUAUUGGUCAAUGGAGGCAACUCUGAACCAGCCAUGCCGCGUGCAGGAAGACAGCCCUCUGGGUCGUAAACUGCUUUUAUUCGGGAAUAAACCUUAUUACGUGUAAUAAGCUGAAUGUACCGAAGGAAUAAGGAUCGGCUAACUCCGUGCCAGCAGCCGCGGUAAUACGGAGGAUCCAAGCGUUAUCCGGAUUUAUUGGGUUUAAAGGGUGCGUAGGCGGCUUAUUAAGUCAGGGGUGAAAGACGGUGGCUCAACCAUCGCAGUGCCCUUGAUACUGAUGAGCUUGAAUGAACUAGAGGUAGGCGGAAUGUGACAAGUAGCGGUGAAAUGCAUAGAUAUGUCACAGAACACCGAUUGCGAAGGCAGCUUACUAUGGUUUUAU
rnacentral:rRNA from 1 species